CGACCGCUGGCGGCGUACUUACCGCAUGCACGUCGACCGGUGAAGCCCUUCGGGGUGGAUCAGUGGCGAACGGGUGAGUAACACGUGAGCAACCUGCCCCUGGCUCUGGGACAACCACUGGAAACGGUGGCUAAUACCGGAUACGACCCGCCUCGGCAUCGAGUGUGGGUGGACAGUUUUUCGGCUGGGGAUGGGCUCGCGGCCUAUCAGCUUGUUGGUGAGGUGAAGGCUCACCAAGGCGACGACGGGUAGCCGGCCUGAGAGGGCGACCGGCCACACUGGGACUGAGACACGGCCCAGACUCCUACGGGAGGCAGCAGUGGGGAAUAUUGCACAAUGGGCGAAAGCCUGAUGCAGCGACGCCGCGUGAGGGAUGACGGCCUUCGGGUUGUAAACCUCUUUCAGCUCCGAAGAAGCGAAAGUGACGGUAGGAGCAGAAGAAGCACCGGCUAACUACGUG
rnacentral:rRNA from 1 species